AAAAGAAACAGGUCCAUUGUGAUUUCCUACUCAUCCCUAAAACCCACUCAUAUGCUCCAUCAAUAAACUACUGUCGUCAAGAUUUCCGGCAUUAUUACGGCGAAAUUCGGCAAGAAACCACCGCUGUCAUUCGUAACUCAUUUUUGGCGAUUUCAGGCAAGAAAACGAACCAAACGUAACAACAAUUUAGUUUGUCGCGUGAGUUCAGCUUUUUGGGGCUUUUAUGGUUCUUCGUUCCAAGUUCAGAAUAGGUGUAUUGCAAAUGAGUUGCUGAUAAGUGGACUUCCAAAAUCGAUUAUGAGUGAUCCUA